CCUGCCGGACCUGACUGCUAUCGGAUUGAUACUAAGCCAUGCGAGUCUUUGUAGUAAUACAAGGCAGACGGCUCAGUAACACGUAGUCAACCUACCCUAUGGACAAGAAUAAUCUCGGGAAACUGGGCAUAAUUCUUGAUAGAUCAUAAUGCCUGGAAUGGUUUAUGGUUAAAAUGAUUCGUCGCCAUAGGAUGGGACUGCGGCCUAUCAGCUUGUUGGUGAGGUAAUGGCCCACCAAGGCGAUUACAGGUACGGGCUCUGAGAGGAGAAGCCCGGAGAUGGGUACUGAGACACGGACCCAGGCCCUAUGGGGCGCAGCAGGCGAGAAAACUUUGCAAUGUGCGAAAGCACGACAAGGUUAAUCCGAGUGAUUUCUGCUAAAGAAAUCUUUUGCCAGUCAUAAAACCACUGGUGAAUAAGGGGUGGGCAAGUUCUGGUGUCAGCCGCCGCGGUAAAACCAGCACCUCAAGUGGUCAGGAUGAUUAUUGGGCCUAAAGCAUCCGUAGCCGGCUUUGUAAGUUUUCGGUUAAAUCCAUGUGCUCAACGCAUGGGCUGCCGAAAAUACUGCAUGGCUAGGGAGUGGGAGAGGUAGACGGUACUCAGUAGGAAGGGGUAAAAUCCUUUGAUCUAUUGAUGACCACCUGUGGCGAAGGCGGUCUACCAGAACACGUUCGACGGUGAGGGAUGAAAGCUGGGGGAGCAAACCGGAUUAGAUACCCGGGUAGUCCCAGCUGUAAACGAUGCAGACUCGAUGAUGCAUUGGCAUAAUAGCCAUUGCAGUGUCUCAGGGAAGCCGUUAAGUCUGCCGCCUGGGAAGUACGUACGCAAGUAUGAAACUUAAAGGAAUUGGCGGGGGAGCACCACAAGGGGUGAAGCCUGCG
rnacentral:rRNA from 1 species